GCUUCUCUCUCUCUCUCUCUGUGUGUGUGUGUGUGUGUGUGUGUGUUUAUAUACGUAACAUAUAUGCCAUAUAUAUAUAUAUAUAUAUAUAUAUAUGUGUGUGUGUGUGUGUGUGUAGAAUUGUGUCUGUAUUUGAGUGCUUUCGGGUCUCUCUUUCUUUCGUCUUUCGCUUCUUCUUCCUCUCCCCCCUGCUCAACCUCGAUCAUUUGUUUUGAAAUCCAAGAAGUUUGAAUAAUGCAAAAUUUGAUCACACUUGGUUGUGGUCUGGUUGCACUAGCGGAGGGGGGAUGGAGGGGCCGUGAUUGAGUAGGGAGAUUUGUUGCAUUGGUGAAAUGUUUCGUUUACGUAUAGGGGAAGCAAAAUGUAAGUGCAAGUCGCGUGCUGUGAUUGUCGAGGUUUAUUAGUUAUGGUGUGUUGAAGUCGGAGGCUGAUUUAUUUUCUUAAUGGUGAUCCAAUUCUUUAUUUGACUUCUACGUAGUCGUAUUGGUUGUGUUUUAAUCUGAAAAGUGACUGUAUACUGUGAUCCGACACAAGGUCGCAGAGCUGUGAUCAUCUGUGUAUUGCGAGAUACGGACGACGGUGCGGAGGGGGAAUUGUGUCAGGAGAGAUUAGUUGGUGACACAAUCAAGAGAAGAAUCAUCAUAAAAAACUAGGCUCUGUUUCGUCAAGAGGGAGAAAGCGGCCGGUGUCUUGGUGCAGCUGAUUGCCUUCUGGUGAAGCUACCAGAGGUUCAUGCACCCUUCAAGUUGGCCCGACAGUCUCCCACAGUGACAAACUGCUGUACGGAACAGGGCAGUAUUGUUGUUAGGAGAACCUUCGUUCCUCUCUUCAAUCUCCUAGGGACCACAAUGCUUACCUUGGUGGGGACCACACUGCGUAGCUAUGUGGGGACCACUAUUUAAAGAUAAUAAGUCUCACACAGUGCAUUCACGCAUUCGCAACAGGAAGCUGCAGGUAAGUUUACGUCAAUGCUAUGGUUUGGAACCCUUGUCGGUCGGCGACUAAGAGAGGCUCAAUUGCUACUCAUGCCAGCCUUGAAGAUACAUUACGCCUACUUUCACUGGAGCGCAAUCUCCCCUACUGCUAAUCGAUAUUGUCACAUAGAGUACCGCGAAAUAUUCGCAAGGAACACUAAAAGUUUUGUAGAAGAGCCACCGCGCUUGAGAAGCCUGUGGAACCACGACUGCUGCCUUCAUGCUUUUCUUUGGAAAGCGACUCAACUGAAUGGCCUCAGCCAUGAUGAUCUGAUCAGCCGAUUGGCUGCUUUUUGUCGACUUGCGUGGGUGUAUCGUGUUCAAAAAAGUUCACAGGACAUCGAUCUGAAGAGGGCAGGUGAUUUAAUUUGAUGGUUAAUUUCACGUUGAUGUCUGUGGUGCUGCUACUGAGCCUGGCCUUCAUGCUGCUGGUGCUUCCGAUCGUCCUGCCGCCGUUGCCUCCUCCGCCCCCGUUCCUCAUGUUUGUCCCGGUGGUCAUCUUCAUCUCGCUGAUUCUCAUCGCCUUUGUGCCCUCCGGGUUCAAUGCUAUCGUCGUUUCGUACGUGUGAUUCUUGACGUUUACAGGAUUGUGUCAUCUAUCUUGUUCAAUCGUCAAGUAGAUGGAGACAAGUAACAAAUACCAGGUGCAAUCGAAGAGCAAAUCAGAGAUGGUGACUAGCGUAUUUUUGCUAGCAACAUUUACAGUUUGCAUCAAGGAAACUUCAAUGAGAUAUGCUGAUUAUCACAGCUGGAGCAUAUUGAGAAGAUGAAUUGUAUAUUCAGAGGAAUAACACGGCUCGGUAAAUUGUUUCUCCUUCCAGUUUAUUACUAGUACCCGACCGCUUGAUUCUGCAAUAACGACGUACUUUCUGAAUGCUUGGCAACUUCAAGAUGAUAAAAGAUCAGGAUUUAUGACGAUAUCGACUCCCUUCUGCUGGUUUAUUGAGGUUGUUAAAGCCUAGGCAUUCCACAGAAUGAAACUUUAUUAUGUUGCUGAGCUUUUUGAAAAGCUUAGCGCGUAUUAGCUUUAACCAUAAGCCUCACCGACGUGCUCCUCCUUGACGGACACACGGAAACUUCAAUAAUACACCAUUCUUUCAAUUCCUUUCUUAGUCUUUAAGUCUUCGGUAUGAAUCAGCAAUAUUGUUUGCAUACUCAUGGACUUGCACAAAUCAAUGUGAACUAUACAUCUCUUGCGCUUAGAAAGUUCUGAGGUAACCAGAGCUAUUUGAAAAUUACUCGCUUGUUGAAGUAGCAUGCCCUGCCCAAGAUACACUAGUGUGUGAAUUUCGACUAACAACAGAUGUUUAUAACUAACGUUGUCCACAGGAAGUUAAUUUUACGUUCACACGGAUAAUAUGUCGUAAUUUCCUUUACUGUAUGCUAAUCUAGUUUGACGAGAUUUUAAAUUAUGCUCUACAAGUUACGAGCUUUCUGAGUUUUAAAUGUUAUAUCCAAGUAGAUUGGGGAUCUCAAUUGACAAAUAUUGAUGUAUCAUAUGGUAUUAUUUUUCGUAAGUAGUAGAUGUUGAAGUUUUGAAUUUUCUGUUUACUGUAUUGAAGCAGUUGGAGGUUCAGGAACAUGCAGCGGCGGUAAUGCUCUCAGUAUUACUAAGGUGCCAGAUUUAUUUUGACCAAAGAGGAAUUAGGAAACAGUUGAGGCCAUUAAGAGCAGCUUCAUGAACAAUGUUUUCACAAUUUCUGACUUCUUUGUAUCGUUUCGCACUUUACUGUUUAUCAUCAUUCCGGUAACCCUUGAGAACAAGCCUCAGGAACCUGCAGGGGCAUCGAAAACUGUCAGAGAGUUGUGGAGAUCUGAGAGGCUUCCGGGGCAACAAGUAUAAUAGCUGCAUUUCGAGGGUGAUCAGUUUCAACACCCUACAAAACUAUUGUUAAACCUGAAAAAGUGGUAAUAAUCAUCUCAUCAAUCUCUCUUCGGAUGAUGGCUACCUAAUGUAAUAACUUGUAUUCUGCUUUUUUCAUGUGAAUGGCUGAUCAGUUCGGUUCUGGUGAUUACAAUUGAACGUUGGUUUUCCUUAAGAUUGCAUGCGUAAUUAUAUACUACCCUUGACUCCAUAUUUGAUUUCACUAGCACAUGCAAGUCGACUUAUUAUUGUAAUUGUUAAAGUGGACAUAACACUGUAGUUGAACUGCAUGUGAAUUCGACAUAAACCCCCAGAGAUUCAGUUUGGUAGGACAGAGUCAACCCUCAAUAAGGAUGGUAACAUGACCUUAUUUGAGGAUGAGCAGCAGUAGGAUCUGGUAGAUUUGAGUGUUUCCAAUGCUUUUAACCUUGUCAUCGAGACUGCUAACCUUGCUAGCUUGUGGAGUUAGUCAUAGGUAUUUUAUUGGAACUAGGGCAAAGCUGCAAGCUGUUUGUACUAUUGGAAUUUUCACCACUGUAAAUCCUUAUUAUGAAGCAGUGAGCCUUGCGAAACAACUUGCUGAGCCAGAUCAAGCACAGUCAAAUGUUUGUCAACGAAGGAACUAAUAUUGAAGGCGAAGGACUCCCCCAUACAAGAUGUUCAGAGUGUCACAAGAACCAUGAAGCUGCAGACAUCAAGAUAGAACGGACAAGGAUAAUGUGUCUAUAUUGGAGGAUGUGUUUAUGUCGAACAAAACUGGCGAUCCCUGUUCUGAAUAUCUGAUUUCCACCUACAGCCCAUCACAUUCAACUAGUCUUUGAUAGCUGUGUGCCUACAUAUGGUAUUCUAUAGACGAAAGUAACGUACUCUAUGGUUCCAAAUUUGUUCCAUCAAUUUCUUCUGCACCAUGGCACAAAUUUGUCUUCAUAUUGAAGGCUGAGAACGUAGAGACUAUGGACGAGGUUGGCUUGGAUCAGGAAUGAAGCACCAGCUCUCCGGGUGAGUUAACAGUCAUUUCGACACAGUAGUGUCCUACUGCCCUUAGGAAGUACUCUCUUGAUGGCCCCAUUUUACAGUUUGUUCGUCUCUGCUUUCACAACUCUUGUAAAAUCUAGUAUUGCCACUAUUUAGGUCAGAGAGGUCCUUCAAAUUAGAUUCUGUACACCACGUCAAAAGGGUUCUGCAAGGGGGCAUGCAGGCCAGAGCUGGUCUUGGAACAAGGAGGCAGUGAAUGAAGUGCUUUAGUUUGGAAAUUGUCGUGGGUCUGAAUUCCAACCAUCUCAUUAAUAGUAAGCAUAAUAUUCAGUUUUCAGCACAAUUCCCCAAACUACAGCUCUCCUGGAAACCAACACAAACAAAGUUUUCAAUGCAGUGCAGAACCCAACUGUAGAUACAGAAUAAUUAAAGUGAAAAAAAUAUUUGGAAU